rnacentral:lncRNA from 1 species
UCGUCGUAAUUAUUUCCCUCCGAAAAAUAUCUCAACGUUCUCGUUCGGUCGUUUCGGUCUCUCGUCGGAAAUGCAAUAAUCGAAUAUACGUAUACGCAUUACGAAGGGACAAAAAAUAAGCGGAUAUAUAUUAGGUGCAUAUAUAUACAAUAAUAUAGUGUGCUACACAGUGGAGUUUUUUAACAGUGAAGAUAGGAAACAAUCGCUUUUUCCUUCCGAGAUUUUGAGUACAAAUCUAAGCGGAGCAACGGAACGACCAGUGUUGAAACGGCAGGACGAGUAUACACGAGAGGAAAAAAAAAAAGAAACAAAAUUAUCGGCGAGACCUUAUCG